rnacentral:rRNA from 1 species
ACCAGACUCCUACGGGAGGCAGCAGUGGGGAAUAUUGCACAAUGGGGGAAACCCUGAUGCAGCGACGCCGCGUGAGUGAAGAAGUAUUUCGGUACGUAAAGCUCUAUCAGCAGGGAAGAAAAAAAGUCCUUUGGACUUUGGACGGUACCUGACUAAGAAGCCCCGGCUAACUACGUGCCAGCAGCCGCGGUAAUACGUAGGGGGCAAGCGUUAUCCGGAUUCACUGGGUGUAAAGGGAGCGUAGACGGCGAGACAAGUCUGGAGUGAAAGGCCGGGGCCCAACCCCGGGACUGCUCUGGAAACUGCCUGGCUGGAGUACAGGAGAGGUAAGUGGAAUUCCUAGUGUAGCGGUGAAAUGCGUAGAUAUUAGGAGGAACACCAGUGGCGAAGGCGGCUUACUGGACUGUAACUGACGUUGAGGCUCGAAAGCGUGGGGAGCAAACAGGAUUAGAUACCCUCGUACUG